AAAUCAUUCACACCUUAGACAUAUAAAAUGGCAAUGGUAAAAGUAUUCAUAAGCUUGACAGCGAUGACAGAGUGGGUCACUAAUAUUAAAUAGUUCAGUUGUCAUUACACAGUAUGGUUCAGUUGAGGUUGAGGUUGAGGGUAAGGAAAUGGAGGUGGUGUUGACAGUGGGUGUGGGUGUGGGUGAGUGUGGGGUGGACGAAGAUGAAGAUGAUGAUGAUGAAGAGAUGAUGAUGCUGAUGGAGGUGGGGUUGG